UACGUAGGGGGCAAGCGUUGUCCGGAAUCAUUGGGCGUAAAGAGCGCGUAGGCGGCCCGAUAAGUCCGCUGUGAAAGUCAAGGGCUUAACCCUUGAAUGCCGGUGGAAACUGUCGGGCUAGAGUCCGGAAGAGGCGAGUGGAAUUCCUGGUGUAGCGGUGAAAUGCGCAGAUAUCAGGAAGAACACCAAUGGCGAAGGCAGCUCUCUGGGACGGUACUGACGCUGAGACGCGAAAGCGUGGGGAGCGAUCCGG
rnacentral:rRNA from 1 species